UUAAAAGCAAGGGUAUCGAGGCAUG
rnacentral:piRNA from 1 species